UUGAGUUUGAUGGAGGGAUUUCAAAAGAGGGUAUAGGGGCUAAAUAAUAAUGCCUGAAAUUUUUGUACACUUUGCCUCUUUGUAAAAUGAAAAAUGUUCACUUCGCCCCCUGCCAUUAGUAAUCCGUUAGGAUUCUGUUUAUAAAGUAUUAUUAUAUAUUUUUUAUUACCAAAAAUACCCUCAGUCUUUUCUCUUGUGUGAACAUGAUGAGGGGCAAAAUGGUGAGGGGUAAAAUGGUUAUUUUAUCAUCACAGUUCGCACCAUACCUUCCUGUGAAUAUUUUUUAUUUUACAAUGAGGCAAAGUGUAGGUUUCUAAAUGACAGGGGCGGAAAGUGAAAAAUCAGAUUUUAAUCGGAGGGUUUUCUAUAAUUUAGCCAAAAAAAAAAGAGAAAAAAAAUUUCAGGAAUAUUUUUUU
rnacentral:lncRNA from 1 species